UCUUCUCAUUCUCUUUCUAAAUCCUCACAAUAAUGGCUUUCCUUCUUUCACACGGACGCGCAGCGAUUUCCUCUUCUCUUCUCCGGCGAAAGAUCCGGUCUCUCUUUCUCUGAUAUCGUUCUUCUUCUUCUUCUUCAGAUUUCUGUGCAUGCAGUUUUGUUAUUGAAUCCGGUUGUUGGUUGAAGGGUUUGUUGUUCCUUGAGGGUUUGUUGCUGAGUUCGCGACGAUGAAUAUGAUGUUGAUAGUGACGAUGAACACGUUUGCUGAUGAUAUCGUGAUGUUGAUUCUGAACCGUUGAUGGUCGUUGUUGAGGGUUACGGUCGUGAAAAUUGAUGAUGAUGUUGGUGACGCUCAAAGUCACAGCAAAUCGGUUAGAUCUAACGUUGUAUCAAGUCGCAUUCAGAGAAGAGACGUAUAUGGUGCUUGGGAGUAGUAUCUUGGCUUGGAGCAUACUGAUAAUGCUCCUAAAAGAUCAUAUGCUGCUAACCAGGUUAGUAACUUUAUUUCUAAGAACUAAUUUUCAACGCUGCAACAAAUGCUUCUAAUGUGGUUCCGAUUCCGUUUUCGACGCCGCAAUAAAGGCUUUUCAUCCGUCCGGCUACUUCACCGCUAUACUUUUGAUAGUCAUAGUCAUUAUCUGCCUGUUUUCGCGCAUCAACCUGAACGGCCAAUUGUAUUUGAAAUGUUAGCAGAUUGAAGAAUGAAUGAUGUUCUUGAAGAUUGUUGAGAAUUGAGAUGGAGAUCAAGUUUGAGGAGACAUAGAAGUGCUCUGGGGGAGCAAGCCGACUACACCUGGAACUGCUUCAAAUCCUCUUCCUCCACUUGUUGCUGUGCCUUUGCCAGGUCUGUCCGCAACAGAUAUUCUGACCUACGAGAGGCAGAUAGCAAUGAGAAAGAUGGGUGGUGUCCAUGCUGCAUUGAUGCAUCCCAAGCGCAACAUCCUCUUAAGCAGGCCGCAAUACUGGUGCUGCUGUUUUUGAUUGGGGUGGUUCAGCUGGUGAUGGUCUUAGGGUAUGUGCUUCAAAGAAUCGUGCAAGGAGAUGUUCCUUAAGCUUUGAUGAACCAUAGGGUAUGUGCUUUAUCAAAAUACUUAGGCUGUUGUUGAUAGAACUGGAACAAAAUACAUGGGAGAAUUCAAAGAUAGGCUGAAGGCCGUUCUUAAAGAAGUAACAGGAUCGGAUGUUCAAACUAUUCUUUUCUUCGAUGAGAUUGAUACUAUUG